GGCGUGGAAACUGAGGAAGGAAGAAAGGCUUACUGAUCUUAUUGAUCCAGAACUGACUGAAUAUCCAGAGGAUGAAAUGAUGCGCUUCAUUAAGGUUGCACUCUUUUGUACCCAAGCAGCUGCACACCAAAGACCCACUAUGAAGCAAGUACUGGAGAUGCUUUCCAGGAAUGUCAACCUUAAUGAGAAGGCACUAACAGAACCAGG
rnacentral:misc_RNA from 1 species